rnacentral:rRNA from 1 species
AGCAUGGUCUUAGCUUGCUAAGGCCGAUGGCGACCGGCGCACGGAUGAGUAACACGUAUCCAACCUGCCGUCUACUCUUGGACAGCCUUCUGAAAGGAAGAUUAAUACAAGAUGGCAUCAUGAGUCCGCAUGUUCACAUGAUUAAAGGUAUUCCGGUAGACGAUGGGGAUGCGUUCCAUUAGAUAGUAGGCGGGGUAACGGCCCACCUAGUCUUCGAUGGAUAGGGGUUCUGAGAGGAAGGUCCCCCACAUUGGAACUGAGACACGGUCCAAACUCCUACGGGAGGCAGCAGUGAGGAAUAUUGGUCAAUGGGCGCAGGCCUGAACCAGCCAAGUAGCGUGAAGGAUGACUGCCCUAUGGGUUGUAAACUUCUUUUAUAAAGGAAUAAAGUCGGGUAUGUAUACCCGUUUGCAUGUACUUUAUGAAUAAGGAUCGGCUAACUCCGUGCCAGCAGCCGCGGUAAUACGGAGGAUCCGAGCGUUAUCCGGAUUUAUUGGGUUUAAAGGGAGCGUAGAUGGAUGUUUAAGUCAGUUGUGAAAGUUUGCGGCUCAACCGUAAAAUUGCAGUUGAUACUGGAUAUCUUGAGUGCAGUUGAGGCAGGCGGAAUUCGUGGUGUAGCGGUGAAAUGCUUAGAUAUCACGAAGAACUCCGAUUGCGAAGGCAGCCUGCUAAGCUGCAACUGACAUUGAGG